AUUUUAGUAGUAGGGGAAAAGAAAACUCAAACAUUCCUUCCCUCCGGGGCGAAAUGAGAUCCGCCGCUCCACCGUGCCCACUUCCCAACCCAAACCCCGAUGCGUCCCCACCUCCGGCGCCGAUGACACCGCGCGCCCCGCAGCUUCGGCACCAGCCGCCGCACCUCGUCCUCUCCGAGGCCGUCGCCUCCUGGCACCCCUUCAACAAGAAGCCCUGUCUCUCGGACCGCUCCACCGCUCCCCCCUCCUCGGCCCGCCUCCCUGAUGCGGAGACUCCGACGCCUGCCCCCUCGGGGGGCGGUAGCGGCGGAUCCUUCCGCUGGUUCGGGCUCCGCAAGCGCCGCCGCCGCGGUGCGGGCUCGCGGUCCGUCUCCGGCCGCAGCAGCGACCGCCGUAGAUCCGGCACUUGCUCCGACUUCCAUUUCACGUGCGGCGCCGGUGGCGGCGGCGCCACUGACUCCAGCGGGGAGAUGUGGGCGUCGGAUGUCGGGGAGAUGCGGAUGAGGGACGUGCCGAUGGCGACGGAGUUCGGCCCAGCGCCCGUUGGUGGGGUUGGUGCCGGGAGCGGUGGCGGCGCUGCAGCGGAGGCAGCGGCCGCCGAUUCUGGGUACGGGAGCGAACCUGGGUACCGUGGCGACGUUGAGCUGGGUUACGGAGAUGAGAUCGACGAAGAGGAAGAGGAUGGGAAGCAGCAGCUGUUCUGGGGCGGGGUGAUUGGAGGUGAUAAGCGUCCUUGAAUUCAAUUCUUUGGAUAGUCACUGCUUUUAAGCUUUUGGCACUGUUGGCAGCAUUACUUUGUGCACUUUGAUUUAGAAUAUGUUUGUUGGAACAGCUUCGUUUGAUAACUUUGUAGAUUGAGAUUCUGGUGUCGAUGGAUAUUUCUUGUUUGGGAUCAAAUAAUUCUAGGUCAUUGAGCUCAUCUGUUCUUGGUUCCAGUAAUGUGACGUUAGUCUCGCUCGUUGGUGGUGAUGUCUGACCAUAAAUAUUUGCUGUGGAUUAGUUGAGUCAACAGUUUUUAGGGGAGAUGCAUUUGUUUACCCAAUAGAAUAUGCUUGUAGUUGUAUGUCUGACAAAAUGACCAUGCCUGAUUAAUAUUCCUUUAUACUCCUGAUCAAAAACAUAUUUUUUAUAAUAAGAUCACAAAUAUUUUUUUUCCAUGGCAUUGAUGUGACCUACAAGAUGGAACUUUAACUAGAAAUAUCUAUAAAAAUAGUGUUUCGAAUAUAAAUAGUUACUCCCUCUGUCCUGGAAUGAGAAGCGUAUUUUGAUCAGAGAAAAAUUGUACAAAAUUGAUUUGCCCUUAAUUUCUCUUCCAAGAUGUUGUCAUUUGCUAAAUAAUCAAUAUCAUUUCAGAGGCACUUUGAAUGCAAAUAUAAAAAAGCAAGUUUCAUGUCCUAAACUUGUAUAUAACUUGACUAAGUGUUGGUUGAAGUUUGUAAAAUUUCACUUUUCCCUUUACAAAAUAUGCUUAUCAUUCUGGGACGGAGUAUAUAUAUUAUGGGAGUAUUUUUUUUUUCAUGUAGUAAUAGCAAUGUUAUUUUGUCAAUCUAUAUGAUUUUUAGCUACAAAUAGUCAAAGCUAAAAACACUUGACAUGGGUCAAGCCUAAAAUGAUUUAUAUUUACGAUAAAGUAUAGUGUUACCUGAGAUAAUUUGGUCUGGUGUGGGGCAUGCUUUCUAUAUGCAUGUCAGUACAUGUAUAGUAUCUCUAUACUUCUUUUAUGUUCCACCUAUUUUUGAUUUGUAUUGACAUCUGUGAGCUUCAGAUUGGACUAAUGUAAACAAAACAAUGAAUUCCCAAAAAUAUUUUUUUGUUUAGGUUGGCGUGUACAUGGUAUGUUCUUAACAUGCACAUUUUGAUCCCUUCCCCUCAAAAUAUCUGAGACUGAUCCUGUGGUACUGCAAUUUUAAUCAGGCCAAAGCUGACCCAGUUUGAAACUGGUAGCACGGACACUCCUAAUGGAUUUAAUGGUUUAUGCAAUCUGACCAAAUACUCCGUUGUUGUAAUCCAGUGAUGUGGUUCUGGUUCAUUUUGAUAUGUAUUUCUUAUGUUAGGCGCCUUUUUGUUGAUACAUUUUGCCGAUGUUUCCAUUUGUUUCAAGAUUUAGCUUCGAUAUGCUUGAAAUCUCAUCUACAUUUGAAUUUUCGACAUAUCUCAUCUACUAUUUUUUUGCAAGUAACAUGUAGCGAGCUGCCUUAGGGUAAGUGUUGUGGGUGAUGGAGGGCCAGCCCACCUGCUUCUCAUGGCAAGGGAUAAGGAUUAGGAAAGAGAUUAGAUUAGAUUAUGUUACUUCCUUAUUUCUAAAGAUUAGUUUCUUAGGGGUCAAGUAUUCUCUCAUCUAUAAAAGGAUGGAAUAGUGUCUUCUUUCAAUCAUGCAGUGAAGAAGAAUUAAUCCAAUUCCCCAAAAUUACUCUAGUCUCUCUCCAUGCCGACUUUGCCCGGCCAUCUUCCUGGCAAUGGUUAUCCCCAAAUGAUCUAAGGAUCAUAACAUCUGGUAUCAGAUUGCUUGGUUUCGAUCCAAUUCCAUGGCUUCUGCUACCGAUGGUUUCUGUGCCCUCACUGAGGGAGCCAUCACAUCUCGGAGGACUUCCAUCAUGUCUCCGCACUGGUCUUCUGUCUCCUCAAUUGGAAUGACGCGAAGAUGGAGCGUGAGCCGGGCAGCAGUAUGCCUACAGGCAGCAGCCCAUGGACUCCUGGCACGCCGGCUGGUGCAGUCUCUCCGUGGGGAGCAGCGUCUGGCUGUCUGCCCUAGAGCCCUCACGUGGCCAUCAUUAGAGGAGCAGGCAGCGGUGCGCCUGCAGGCAGCAGGGCGAGGUUUUCAUGCCCGGUGGAUGGUGCAGAACUGCAGAUGAUGUGCGUGCCAUUCAGCCGGGCGCCAUGGUGAAUCGCAGCCUGCAUAGCGAUCAACCAGCGCAAUGCAAUGGCAAGCACCAAGGGUGCUCAAUCUUUGUCAAGAAUUGCGGAUUGCGGCGGCCGUCUCGUCUGUUCUGGCACCCACCUUGGUUUUGUUGGGCAGGCCUGGCGUACUAGUGGGCUGCUACAUCCUCCACUCCUCAGCCCACAUGAAGCCAACUGUUGGGCUAUUCCCAUGGGAUCCAGGAGGAAUGAUGUUGUCUGAUGAACUCCUGGUGUGGCGGUCUGUAGUGCGGGGGAUGACCAUGUUGCACCUCAAUGGAACCAGUAGCACCAAAGGUUGCAACUCUGCCCUCCAACACUUAGGAGCCGGAAACGCGUAACGUGGCUACGUUCCUCAUUCCGGGAACGUCGUUCUGAGAACAUCCACGUUCCCGAUUCGGGAACAUUUUAUGAUCCCACGUUGUAGAAUAACACCCCAACCCGUUCUUGUUCCACGUUCCCGUUCCCUUGUGGGAACAUGGCCGCUAACCUCCAACAGUUGGAGCACCAUCAGUCCAUCACCAUGGAAGCCGCUUUGGUGUUCUACCUCCUUGUGCCUCAGGAUGGUGUUCACCAUUGAUUGGGGACACGACACCUAUAAAGAGUCCAACUUUAUUUCGUGUUUUAGUUUCAAAUAACAAAACUAAGCCGAGAUGCAAAAGGCUUAGCCAUGAGUCGAGUCCUCCUAAUGAAGGUCUGCAGCAGCUCGUGGGUGAGCUGCUCAUAAUGGGGGGAGAAGUGUUAUGGGUGGCCAGAGGGUCAGUCCACCUGCCUCUCAUGGCAAGGGAUAAGGAUUAGGAAAGAUAUUAGAUUAGAUCAGGUUAUUUCCUUAUUUCUAAAGAUUAGUUUCUUAGGGAUCAAGUCUCCUCUCAAUCUCUCAUCUAUAUUAGAAUGGGAUGGUGUCUCCUUUCAAUCAGGCAAUGAAGAAGACUUAAUCCAAUUCCCCCAAAUUACUCUAGUCUCCCUCCACGCCGACUUCGCCCGGUCAUCUUCUUGGCAAUGGUUAUCUCCAAAUGAUCUAAGGAUCAUAACAAUAUGAAUAAAAUGAAAAUCAAUGGUGACAAUAACUUUGGGGAGCAGAAGAGCCAUCACCGUUGCAGGCGCAAGAAGCAUGAUGUGAGGAUGUUGGAUUCCUUGAGCUGAAGAAUUAUGUAGGGAGCAGAAGAGCCAUCCACCGAUGCAGGCGCAAGAAUGUGAGGAUGUUGGAUUCCUUCAGUUGAAUUAUGUAGUGCUAGAAGUGGUGAAGCGUCUAUGCAUGUGUUAUAGUGUUCCUUCUCUUGCAGCAACUAUUGUCGGAUAGCAUGUCCUUGUUGUAGCAUUCACUGAUAGAGCAGGCAACUAGUUACCAGUGUUUCGACUUCUUGUAUGGUCACCAGAGGUUUCCUGGUAGUAGUUCCCUAGUUUCUGGGCAAGAGAAUUUUCCAUGAGUUUAUCCCUGAGUUUAUCUAUGAAGGCUUCAAGAGCAGCGUAUGUGCUAAGUAACAUGUGUCUUCUUGGUUGUUUUGGUACACUUGCUGUCAAGCAGGCGCUGCUGGUCUGACGUUUUUCAUUUUGA